AUUGAACGCUGGCGGCAGGCUUAACACAUGCAAGUCGAGCGGAGCGGCGGACGGGUAAGGGAUGCUUAGGAAUCUGCCUAUUAGUGGGGGACAACAGCCCGAAAGGGAUGCCAAUACCGCAUACUUAUAGAUGAGCCUAAGUCGGAUUAGCUAGUUGGUGGGGUAAAGGCCUACCAAGGCGAUGAUCGGUAGGGGGUCUGAGAGGAUGAUCCGCCACACUGGGACUGAGACACGGCCCAGACUCCUACGGGAGGCAGCAGUGGGGAAUAUUGCACAAUGGGGGGAACCCUGAUCCAGCCAUGCCGCGUGUGUGAAGAAGGCCUUAUGGUUGUAAAGCACUUUCAGCGGGGAGGCGUUACCCGCAGAAGAAGCACCGGCUAACUCCGUGCCAGCAGCCGCGGUAAUAC
rnacentral:rRNA from 1 species